CUGCAGGUGGGCAGUCUAUGAGGCAGCCACUGGACACUGGGUUUGCUCUGUGCCCUGGGGACAGAUAACUCUGUGUGCUCCAUUCACCAUGUCAUAAAGGGAUGCUGAGACAUGGCUUCUGUGGGAGUCACAUCCCUCAGGGUCAGUGAGAGACAAGAGGCGGCAAAUGUGAUGGACUUAAAAGACAAAACCUAAACCCAUCCUGAGGACCUUUAAGAAAUGGCAGCUGACUGCUGGCUUCAAAUCUGUCACUCUUUCUCCCAGCCUCCAACUUCCAGCACAAUAGGUCAAUUUUACUAACAAGGCUAAGAGCCACCAUUUAAAGUCGGUUCUUCAAUGUGAACAACCACAGGGACAUUUAAAGCAGGAAGUCGGUGGCGAAAUAGAGCGGGGUGCUGGUGGUAUCCUGGCCUGAUCUCGGAACACUCCACGUUGUCCUCCUGGCGGUGGAUCCCCAAACUUACAAGAGCAUUCCCAGGCCAGGUUGAAGGCUGAGAGAAAGACAGUUAAUUACAGAACUCAAAUGCCAGGUGCCUCUGCUGUCACACGGAGAGCCACGUGAGAGGCUGAGAGCCUGUGGGAGCCAGAUUCCGGGGAACUUGAACUUAGCUGUUUGUGGAGGAAACAUAAGAUCCCAAAAGGGAAGGCCAGGAAAGGCAUGGCCCGGGCGCAGACCUAGACUUUCGGUGCUCCCUCCGAACAAGGCUGCCAGAAGGUCCCAGAAGGAUAGCCAGCUGUGCAAGAUCCAACACCAGGCCACACCGCAGUGUACCAUGAAAGAAGGUCUGGCAAAGCUUAUAGUUAGUCUGUGGCUAGUGUAACUGUUUAUGCGCUGUGCUUCUCUGUUAAAAGUAAAGCUGUAAAGUAGAUGACAAUUUGUCCCAGUUUCAGACUUUCUUCAUUUGCUGACAUAGUGGGAGCCCCCAGUGGUCUGGGUGGUGCUGGCCUUUGGGAACGGGGCAAAGCAGACUCCUCCUGUCACAGGAGCUUGGGACAGGUGGCUGGGUGGCUUUGC
rnacentral:lncRNA from 1 species